UGAGUAACACGUGGGGAAACCUGCCCCAUAGUCUGGGAUACCACUUGGAAACAGGUGCUAAUACCGGAUAAGAAAGCAGAUCGCAUGAUCAGCUUUUAAAAGGCGGCGUAAGCUGUCGCUAUGGGAUGGCCCCGCGGUGCAUUAGCUAGUUGGUAAGGUAAAGGCUUACCAAGGCGAUGAUGCAUAGCCGAGUUGAGAGACUGAUCGGCCACAUUGGGACUGAGACACGGCCCAAACUCCUACGGGAGGCAGCAGUAGGGAAUCUUCCACAAUGGACGCAAGUCUGAUGGAGCAACGCCGCGUGAGUGAAGAAGGUUUUCGGAUCGUAAAGCUCUGUUGUUGGUGAAGAAGGAUAGAGGUAGUAACUGGCCUUUAUUUGACGGUAAUCAACCAGAAAGUCACGGCUAACUACGUGCCAGCAGCCGCGGUAAUACGUAGGUGGCAAGCGUUGUCCGGAUUUAUUGGGCGUAAAGCGAGCGCAGGCGGAAGAAUAAGUCUGAUGUGAAAGCCCUCGGCUUAACCGAGGAACUGCAUCGGAAACUGUUUUUCUUGAGUGCAGAAGAGGAGAGUGGAACUCCAUGUGUAGCGGUGGAAUGCGUAGAUAUAUGGAAG
rnacentral:rRNA from 1 species